UACAGAGGGUGCGAGCGUUGUCCGGAAUCACUGGGCGUAAAGCGCACGCAGGCGGUCUGCUAAGUUUGGAGUGACAGUUGGUGGCUUAACUGCCAAAGUGCUUCGAAAACUGACAGACUUGAGGGCUUCAGAGGGACACGGAAUUCCGGGUGGAGUGGUGAAAUGCGUAGAGAUCCGGAGGAACACCAAAGGCGAAGGCAGUGUCCUGGGGAGUACCUGACGCUCAGGUGCGAAAGCCAGGGGAGCGAACGGG
rnacentral:rRNA from 1 species